AUUGAACGCUGGCGGCAGGCUUAACACAUGCAAGUCGAGCGGGGUGAUGGUGCUUGCACUAUCACUUAGCGGCGGACGGGUGAGUAAUGCUUAGGAAUCUGCCUAUUAGUGGGGGACAACAUCUCGAAAGGGAUGCUAAUACCGCAUACGUCCUACGGGAGAAAGCAGGGGGUCACUUGUGACAUUGCGCUAAUAGAUGAGCCUAAGUCGGAUUAGCCAGUUGGUGGGGUAAAGGCCUACCAAGGCGACGAUCUGUAGCGGGUCUGAGAGGAUGAUCCGCCACACUGGGACUGAGACACGGCCCAGACUCCUACGGGAGGCAGCAGUGGGGAAUAUUGGACAAUGGGGGGAACCCUGAUCCAGCCAUGCCGCGUGUGUGAAGAAGGCCUUAUGGUUGUAAAGCACUUUAAGCGAGGAGGAGGCUCUUUUGGUUAAUACCCAAGAUGAGUGGACGUUACUCGCAGAAUAAGCACCGGCUAACUCUGUGCCAGCCGCCGCCGUAA
rnacentral:rRNA from 1 species